GUUAGAAGGUCGCAGAGCUGCGCUGCUUGCGACUGGCGCUGCUUGACCUUGGACCAAUGAUUUAACCGCUUAGAUCACCUCGUCGGGGAUCUGGGAGGCGAGAGCUGCUCCGAGAGAGUCUUGUAGCUUUGAAAUGUGUCUUCGAUGGAGAUUUUUACCCUCUCCGAGCCUCGUUGUGGGUGCGGGAGUUGUGCAAUGCCCUGGAGAGUCAUUGAAGAAGGAAAAGAGGAAGCACACACUGGAAGAGUUAAGUAGAGCUGAGCGCAUGGAAGGUCACAUUAGGAAGUAGGGAUUGUUGAGCAUCGGGUGAGAGGUUAGGAGGAAGAUGGAGGUUUCAUGGUAUUAACUUGGGUUUCGUGGUAGCUUUCUGGCUCAGGUGCUUUCUCUACCCUCAUCCCCCUUUGUACCAUCAUAUUUUAGCAUUUAAUUAUAUACUUUCUUGAAUCCCUUUGAGAAGCACUGAUUAUGCGGUCUGUCUCAGUUUUUGAAUCCUGGCUUUAGAUUUAUUUAUUUUUUAAAGAUUUACUUAUUUAUUAUACACAAGUACACUGUAGCUGUCUUCAGAUAUACCAGAAGAGGGCAUCAGAUCUCGUGACAAAUGGUUGUGAGCCACCAUGUGGUUGCUGGGAUUUGAACUCAGGACCUCUGGAAGAGCAGUCAGCGGUCUUAACCACUGAGCCAUCUCUCCAGCCCCUAGAUUUUAAUAUUACUGAUUCUGAGCUUUCUGGGCUUAAGGGUAGCAGCUGUUUUCCUUCUUAUAGGAAGGUGUAUAAGGUCUAGCUCUUAGAAUUAUUGAAGGGAAUAGGUUUCUGCUCAUGAUGCUAGGAAUGGAUAUAGAAUUCAACUUCAGAUUUGCUUUCUCAUAGACGCAGUAGUUGCCACUGAAGGACAGGCGUUCUGGCCAAAGCCUACCCAGGGACUUAUAAAUAACACUGCAUGUUCUUAGUAUUUAGAUAUGUCAGAGUACUUUCUCUAGCAUCAGUUCAUUUGUUCCUCAGAACAGCUCAUUAAAAAUGCUGUCAGCAUAAGUCAACUGAUUCCAAUAAAGCACUUUAGAUCCUUUCUCUUCAUUCUCUUCUUUCUGCUUGAUAACAAGUCCCAUCCUGCUCUAAGAACUAUCUCUUCAUAGGUUUGGAAACAACCAACCAUUAGCUCACUGACGAUGCCUUUUGUUGAACUGCAUAAAAUCUAACCAUUAUUCAUUUUCUAGUCCUAGAUAGUUCCCAGAUUCUUAACCUCUUAAAACUCUCACUCUCCUUGAAUUCAUAUGGUAGCUACAACCAUUUAGCCAGUUAUAACCUAGUUAUAAAAUCUUUAUGAAAACAUAUGGUGCAUGUGAUAGAAGAAAGUACUGGACCAGAUGAGUUUUAAGACUUAACAGGGACUUGUGUGAGCCAAGUCAGUUUACUCUACUUUUCUCAUCCUUGAAUGGGGAUGAUCUUACAGUAAACAUCUUCCCAUUCUGAGGGAUUGAGUAUACCUGGAUGCAAAUGUUUUUAUAAGAACUGAAUGCCUUUGGGCCUGUUCUAUCCCAGAUAUUUAUAAAAUCAAAUUGUUCACUUUAAAAUUUCAUAUACCUUUUCUGGUAUAUGCAGUAUCAAAAAAAAUUAGCUGGGGGCAAAUUAAGGGGCUGUUAAUAGGUAUUAACAAGCAAAAAAAAAAAAAAGAUUGGGGGGUUAUUCCAGGACCCACCCCUCUGUAGAUACUAAAAUCUGUGAGUGUAAAGCCUUUAUGGAAGGUAGCUUAGUAUAUGAGCAUAACCUCCACAUAUUUUGUAUCAUCUAUAGCAAUCCUAGAUGACUUAUAUCUAAUAUAAUGUGAUACCAUGUAAGUAGUUGCUAUAUUGUGUUGUUUAGACACUGGUAACAAGCUAAAGUCUGUACAUGCUUAAUAUAAAUAACGUUAUUUAUUUGUCUGUUUUAUGUAUUGAGAUAAAGGUGUUGUAUUAGCCCAGUCUGGACUGGAACUUACUGUGUUGUUCUAGUAUUGACUGUCCCUGAAUUUAUAAUUCUUGAGGUCAGCUUUCCAAAUGCUGGAAUUCUAAGGCAUGUGACAUGAAGCUUGGCAUACUUUUACACACACACACACACACACACACACACACACACCCCCCACACACACACACACACAUACAUACACACUCCACAUAAACUAGAAUGUCAUAUGUGAAAACCAGUGGUAUUUUACAUUUCAUUUUUAUUGACUAAUUCUAUGUAAUAUCUGGCUGGCUGUGUGUUCUUUUUGAAUCAUUAUAUAACUAAAAAUCAUAGAUGGAAAACUCUAGGCUAGGUACAAGGUGACCAUUCACUAAUCUUAUUGGUGAGAACUGUAAAACUGCAUGUGUGUAUGUGUGUGUGUGUGUGUGUGUGUAUCUCACAUGCUCAUUAUGCCUAAGUUAAGGAUGCUCUGAAAUUAUGAGAUGCUCUUACACAUUGACCAGACUUUAGGGAUAUCUCUUUAAAGUGUGUUGACAUUUAAUUGACCUUUGAAGGUUCAUUCUGUUAAUCAUACUCAAAGUGCUAAAGCUAUGGUUGACUGCUUUGGAGUUUUUACAUUCAGUCGUGCUUAGCAUAUAAAGUCUCUGGCGUAAUUGCUGCUCAUUUGGAGUAAGCUUCCUUCUCUCUGAAAAUGUGAGUUAUGCUUGUGUUUUGUUUUGUUUUUAAAACUUUGCUUCAGGCUAGGUAAUGAUAGAGGUUUGAAUUCAAGUCUUUCCCUGUCAUUAGUUGUAGGUGGGUAUUGCUUUUCAUACAUAAGUAAUGGGAAUUGCUUGGCUAAAUGAAGACUACUUUUAUUCAUGCAAGAACUAGAGCUCUUCAAGGUGCAGUGUUAAAAUUUAAACAGUUUAACAAACUUAAAAUUGUGUGUUUCUCAACAAACUUCUAAGAGCCUUUCAGUUCUGUUACUGUGGAUUGAAACUACCAAUGUAAGUGUUUUUCGGAAUAAGAAUUCAAAGAACUAUUUUCAUAGUAAACUGUAUUCCUUGACUUAUUCUCAGUAUAAUUUUAUUAUAAACACAGUUUGUAAAAACACAAAAACUCCACCUUAUUUCUUUUUAAAAUGCUGAUAUUUUAUUGCUUUGUCUAGAGAAUAUCUGAUGAAAUGUUUUAAAAUUUAUGGGAUUUAAAUUUAUGAAAAUAGCCUUUGGAAGUAUUUUUGAUAUAGUUAGCUCAGUUGACUUUUAAAUUGGCGAGGUUUUAUUCUUUACGUUAGUUUACUUAAUAUGGCAAAAUGGUAACAAUUCUUAACAUAGCUUACUUAGACUGGCCUUGAAAUCAUGACCGUUCAUCUUUAAAAAAUAUUAAUUUUUAAUUUUUUUUAUGUGUAUGGACAUUCUGUCUGAAUAUUUAUCUGCACCAUAUGUGUGCCUGGUGCCCAUGGUGAUUGGAAAAGGGUGUCAAAUACCCUGAGACUAGAGUUACAGACAGUGUGAGUCUCCAUGUAAAUGAUAGGAAUAGAACCUGGGUUCUCUAACAGAUCAUCACUAUCUCUUCUGCCCCUAAAUUAAUAUUCUUAAUAUUUAUGAAAAUGAUAACUUUUUUCUAAAUUAUGAUUGAAAAAAAUAACAUGUUCUUACCACUUUUUAAUGAUUUAUCUUUAAGGUACCAUACAUAUUUUUAGAUAUUUUUACCUUGAAGCAGCUAUUAAAUAGGAAAGUUUAAAGUUUAAACUAGAAUUUUUACUUUCAUGAGAUAAUUUUAGACCUUGGAUAUAUAUACCUUCAUGUUUACAAUGCAUUCAUUCUACUGUAAAUUUUGAGAUAUUACUCACUUAUUCAUACAGUUCAAGUAAAGCAAACAGUUCUCUUGCCACAAAAUUUGAUAUUUCUGAUCAGUUAGUUUUCUAUAUUGUCUCAUCUGUUCUGCUCUUUACUGUCUUCCAUUAGAGUAGUUCUUUUUAUUUAAUGGUAGACCCGCCUCCAAAUAAAAGGUCAUUUUCUCUUAGACAUUUAACUUCAGACUACCCUUUUGUGGGGAUAGAGGAUAUACCAUGAGGCAUAAUAACAUUAUUUCAGUAAAACCUAAAGAAUGACAAUCAGUGCAGUGAUGAUUGUAUGCAUGAUACUCAGAUCACGGGUGACAUCUCAAACUGUAUAAUGUAAUUUCAGUAUAUUUCUUUAUCUGUAGCUAGUAUUUUAAUAUCAGGUAUAACUAAACAUAAUUUUAAUAUAAAGACUGAUUUCCACAGAAAACUUUUUUUUUUACUUUUAGUAAGCCUAUUCAAUGGAUAAUACAUUAACAGAAAUAAAUACUAUUUCAUUUUUGUUUUCAUAAGAAAUGUUCUAUCAUUCAGAUCUGGUGAUGGUCACAGGUGGUUUAUUUAACAAAUUUGUGAUUUUUCACAUAAUAAAUUUUGGCCUAAAUAUUUCAUAAGUGUCAGUUUACUUAAUAUUAAUUUUACUAGUGAGAAGGUUAUGAUACAAGUAUUUAUGGUGGUGUCUUUGGUUGGUAGACAGAUUGUAAGAAAGUAGGUAACAGUCUUAUUACUAAAUAGCAACAGAAAUUGUGCAGGAUCUGGGGAAAUAUGGGUGUGUUUAUUAGGAAAAGAUAGGACUCCAGUGGGCCCAGUAUGGAGAGCAGCUUGCCUUCCUCCUCCAGUGGCUCUGAAGCUCAGGCCAGAUGCUCUCAGGUUUCAGCAGCCCGCCAGGUGGAGGAGGCUGCUGCUUAGCACUGAGGAGCCCUCACGUCUUCCUCCUCCUGGCAUUUUUAGGCUGACUCAGGCAGUUUUGCCCCAGGAGGGUUUUCCUUCUCCCUCAGUUGGAAGCCUGGGCUUUGUAAAUAAGAGGAGGUUUUUUUUUUCCUCCCAGGUUUAAUCUCAGGCCAGUUCAUCCUCCCCUUGCUUGCCCUUCCGGAUAUUUCUUCAAAAAUAGUGCUCAGUAGUGUUUUACAAUUGUAUGUAACUAUGAGAUUGAUAGUAAGUAACAGAAUUAAAGGGCAAAGCAGUCAUUUCUGUUUGAAUUCAGCAGAGAAGAUGAGAAAGUGGUUAAAUGUAGAAAAGAAGGAGAAAAGAAUCAUUGUGGAAAUGUAGAGAUAAAUUGGGGUUGGAGGCUGAUGGAAACUGAGAGGAGGAUUGCUGAUUUGCUUCUCACCCACACCUCCUCCCCACAUUCACAGUAACAGGCGAUGUCACUGUCUUUUGCCUGACAUGCUGAGCCAGGGAGUUGAGACUCGUGGGAGUGGAAAUUUUCUUCCUUUUGAAUUUUGAGACUAGGGUGUGCUGCUUUAAGAUGCCACUGGUAUCUCAGUAAUGUUUGUUUAUACUGGAUAUUUUCUGGGUAGCCAUUGUGGACAGGGCUUAGAAUACAAACAGUGCUGUUAGAAAGACUGCAGAUACUCCACUGCUAUGUUUAUCGGACUAGUUAAAAACCUGCUAGCGCCUAAGACUUCUGAGCACGUUUAGAAAACUCCGAAGGAAGGAAGGAAAGAAGGAAAAGAAAGGAAAUUAAUUAAGACUUUGUGCUUAGAAUGCUAACCAACAUGCAAAUUUUUCUUUAGAGAGUAUAGGAGUUGAGCAUUUUUAAAAACUUAAGUGUAAAAGUUUUUUUUUAAUAUUUUCUUAAUCAUUUAGAUAAAAGCACAGCACUUUGAAUUCACAGAUUGUAACAUUAAAGUUAGAAGGAAUUUGGAGGGAUUUUAGUUUUGAUCCUUAUUCAGAUCAUGGGUCUCACAGUAUUUCUUACUGAUUUAUGAUUUUAAUAAGACAGUAAUUGAAAUUGUGAUCAUCUCAAAAAAGAUAUAUUACCAGUCUUAUUUUAAACUUUCUGGUAACUAAUUUUAUACUUCUCCUUUACUUUUUAUCUUAUGUGUAUAAUAGGUAGAUUAUGCAUUCAUAUUUAUGAAAAAAUAGUCACUUUAAAUAACAAAAUGUUGAGCUAAACUGUAAAACUGUUGAUAUGGAGAAAAUAAUUAAUUUCCAAGUGAUUGUUUGUUCCCCAGGUAGGGAGGCCUCUGACAGGGUUUGUUUAGAGCCCCAUAUGUGAAAGAAAGAGAAUUAACAGUGCUUUUCCCAGUCAUGACAUGGCCCUGGCAUUCUGUUCAAGCAUUCAUGGACUCUAGGAAACAGUAUAUUUUUCCUUGUAUUUAAUCUUGUACUUACCCAGUUUUUUUCCUAUUGUCAUGAAAACAUUCUUCUCCUCUGACACUGUUCUCAUUAGAUUCUAGAUUGCCACCGUGGCCACUUUUCCAUGUUAGACAGACAUGGAAUCUGGGCCUAGAAGCUUGUAGAGAGGGUCCCAAGCUAGCAGCUGCCUGUACUCUCUUUCCUCCCAGACACAUGAGCUUCACAACCGCUGCUCGUUUGUUUCUGUUCUUCCUGUGUUUGUGCUGUUCCCCGGCCUGAGCUGUCUUUUAACCUCCACUCUUAAUGCUCAACUUUACAAGUGAAAUUUGAGCCAGUCACACUGGAAAUGUCAGCCAUUGCUAAUGGUUCAAUUCACAUUCAGCAAAUCCACUCAGUGCUUAUUAACUGAGUAACUUAUUUGAAUAGAGGUGUUUUUGUUCUUUUUUAUUUUACAGAUUUAUAGUUGUGUCAUAAAAAUCAAAAAAUUAAUCUUAUUUGGGCCACUAAACUUUAGAUAACUCAAAAUACUUUAAGUCAAAUAUUAACUUGCCAUAAAACUCUCCUGAAAGUACCUAACUUUUAGAUUAAGCAAGCUAUUUUCACCUAAAUUGCCCAUUCUCUUAUGAAAUGGUAUACGUUGUGGAAGCUGAUUUAAAGGUUGGAUCCUGAAUAAGACAUUUGUCCUGCGUUUUCUAUGCUUUGUUGCUAUGCACCUCUUUUGUUCCUUGCUUGCAUUCCAUAUUUCUUACCAAACAGUACUGUAGACAAGUUCUUCUACAGAAAGCUUUAUAAGUUAGCUUCUAACCACUGUCUAUAGAUACUUUCAAACAAUUGUGCAAUGCUUCUAUUUAAAAAGAUGUGUGUGUGAAAAGUGAAGGUGAAUGAAUUCAGGGUGAUCGGUGACUCUGUAUUAAGAAAAAAAUAUCACUAGUUAAGGGAAACCUGCUUCCGAAUCUUUCUGCCUUCUUUAUGCAGUUCCCACUGUAUCUCAUAAAAUUAAAAAAAAAAAGAGGAAUUAGAAUCAUAGUGUUUUAUAGCUGUAAGGAUUCUAUAGAGACUUUAAUUAACCUUCUUAUGGAGAAAAUUGGCAUCCACUGUGAUCUAAUAAAAUCAGGUAGCUAUUGGGUUUAAAGCCCAAAUAACAUUUUAAUGGUUUGUUUCCAUUAGUAUAUAUGCUGCUCUAUUUAAGCUACCCUAACUGCUGAUAAUCAGAAAAUGGUAAUAAGGGAACAGACCUAGAGGGGCAUUGGUCCGUUGUCUUUUACACAUACCUUGGUCACUUCUCCAGGGAUUCUGUGCAGAACAGGUAUUGCUGCUUCCUUUCAUAGAGAAAGUAGCUCAGGCUCAAAGUUACAGAUCUCCCCUAUCCCCUAGGUGUCUGCUAGGUAAUUCAGUGUUCCUUGUCUUUCUGUUAUUUAAGAGUCACCAGCUGAUCUCAGAGAAUUCUCAAAGGACAGAGGGUGGGGAGAGACAUCUUCCUGUUGUGACUUUGGUUGUCUUUGUUGAGUUGUAUGUUCCCCCAAAAGGCUAUAUAACUGUGAAGAAGAUACGUCUCAUAAAUGUAACUAAGAUGCAGCCAGCAUAUAGUGAGCACUCACUUUCUGCAGGACACCUCUUGGGGCACAGAAUAGAAGCAGAGGUAGAGUCAUAGCCACAGGCAGAGACUAAAGGUAGUUUCUCCUUUCCAAAGACUUGCUUUUGUGGGGAUAUGUGAAAUAUACUGGUCCCUAUGACUGAAGCAAGGAAGUGAUAUUUUAACAUAGUAAAGAUUUGAUUUUUGUCUUGACUUUUUUUUUUAACUUGAAGCCCAAUACUCUGCUAAGGCAUAACUUUGAAAGCAGAGACAUAUAGUGCUUUCAGAAUGAAUCAGUUUGGAAGUAUGAUAUGCUGGGUAUUUUAUGGCAGUUGAUUAUUAUUAAAGACUCUAAAAUAUAUGCCCUUAUGAAUGCUUUCUAAAAUUAGAAGAAUGAAUUAGGUAGUAGCUUAUUCUAUAUAUUUAAUAAUACCAGAUAACUUAUUGUCUGUCUGUCUAUCUCUUAUCUUAUCUGUCUAUCAAAGUUGCAAGUGGUGUUUUGCAGAUAGUGAUUUGGUAAACAGACUUUUUUUUGGAAAUAAGUUUUUACUUAGCCUUGAACUUCUGGUCUCAAGUCCUUCUAAAACUACAAGUGUGUAGCAGCCCCACCUCACAUGUUCUGAGACAGGGCCCCUGUAUAGCCCUAACUUACCUGAUAACACCCUAUAUAUUCUUUGUAGCUAGGCUAGCCUCAGCUUUUGCCUCUUGCUAGGAUUACAAGCAUGCUCCCCCAUGUUAUGUUUCAGCAGAAGCAGGAGGGUUUUUCUGUUCAACAGUGCACAGGGAAGAGCUGAGCCAGCAGCCUGUGGUCUGAGGGAGGUUGCCUGGAAACUGCUGACAGUGAGGUAAAAGGAGUGGAUAGAAUGGAGUGGGAAAGUCCCAUAUUCGUUAGCCUGGAGGCUGGGAGGCCCUGACCUUCUGGAAUCUCCCACCUUAGUGGAAAUACUGGGGAAAGUCAGAGAGGAGAACUAUGGGCUGAUGGGGUGAGUGGGAAAGGAGUGAUAAGCCAAGUCCUGAUGAUGCCCUUGAAAAUAUCUGAAAAUCUGACCUAAAGAGCAACCAGUUCUACUGCAUCAUAAAGGGUGAUUUCAACUCUUAUUUUUUUGGUUAAUAUUUUAUGUUAAUUUCAUAAUGAAAAUACAAUUAAUGAGAUGUUAAUUGUCCGUUAUUUUUCAAAUGCAUACUUUCUCAUACUCCAUAAUUGGUCCAGAAUACCAGAAUAGAGGACUCAACUGAAAGCCAUGGAUGUGACUUUAGUGCUACAAGCCUGAUGUCAUCAGCAUUAUGUCAAUGAUAUAGUGGUCUUGGUAACAGCUUCAUUAUGCUGUGACAGGGGUAAGAAGAAGUGGCAUAGUAGAUAUUGAUUGGCCUGCAAUAAAUACUUAGGCGAGGCUCAGUUGAACCGAGGUUAAAAAUGUGUGCAAGACCAAGCACAAGAUAUAUGCCUAUAAUCCCAACAUUUGGUAGGUGGGAGGCAAGAGUAUUGGGAGAUCAAGGUCAGGGGUACAUAAGGACCCCAUAAACAUCUACCUAGAUUACAAAAGUCUUAAGAAACGAGUACAUACAUUUUACCUUAUUUUUUUAUUUAUUUUUAUGCCAUUUUGGUGAAGAAUGCUAAUUGAACAAAAUAAUUAUGUUCAUUUUUAGACCAGGAGAGGAUUUAGUCUUCAUAAAUUUAGACUUUAUUAAGUUAAUGGUUUUCUUUGUAGAAUUUGAGUUUUUACACAGUUGUUCGCAUGAACAAGCUCCAUUGGGAAGUUCCUCCAAGUAAUUUUCAUAGCUUUUAUUCAUUUUCAUGGAACAAGAUAUAGCAGGUAGGUUUUUAUUUAUAUUACUUCCAACAAAGAAAGUCCUGGGAAGACUCAUUGGUGUCAUCAUUAGCAGGAAAUGCAGUGAAGAUGACACAAACCUAGAGCCUAGGCAAAGCUAGAGGGAAAGCUAGGCCUAGAAGAGUGAGUCAGAGAAGGCGCAGAUGGGUUUGAAGUGCAGAGCUCUGUACAUUUAGUUACUCUGUUUCAGAUGACUUCCAUGCUUGCUUUCUACAGUAGGGGACAGACCAGUUGCUAUUUGUUCUUUACAGGAGUGUCAAAUCAGAAACAAGAGGUGGAAUGCCAGGACUGUUCAUGCAGUUGCCUGCAGCUUAGGGCUCCAAGGGUUCCUGGAGUACGAAGGAUGCACAACCUGGGCACUGGAGGGACCUGUGCUGACAAGGAGCCUCCCAUUCUUGGACUAUCACUGUAAACAUGCAGAUGUGAAGUUGAGAGGUGAUGUGGAUAGGAGCAAGGUAGAAAGAGGAAGAAGAAUCAUUUUCUAGCAAGGCAAAGUACCUUGUACUUUUUCAUUUCCAUGACUAGCUAAGUGAAAGUUUAAAAAAAUUUUUAGGACCAGUCUUAAAGUCUCCUUCAUUAGAAUGAGUUAACCUUCAACUAGUUAAAACAAAAGGGAUGUGAGGAAGAUACACAACCUUCCAGAGACACCAGAGCUGUACUUUGGGCUGACCAACUUAGGGGCCUUGACUUACAGGUCUGGAGCCAUGGAGUGUUCAUCUUAGAAGUUGUAACUUUGUUUUCUGUGUUGAAGGGUUGUAUAAGGGUCUGAUGUACUAUACAAAAUUGAAUCUUAGUCUUCCAGUUUUGCUAACACGUGUUUUUAAAAAACAGAUAUUAUUCACAUUUUCCAGAUAAUGGGAAGACAAUUUUAAUCAGAAGGAAACUUAAUUAGUUCAGAUAUUUUAGGUCACUGGUUCUCUGCUGAAUAGAUAGAGCAGAAACUGAUUGCCAGGUAUACAAACUAGCAACUUCCCAUAUUUUGAACAAAAGUUGCAGAAUCAAUGAGGCUAAAUGAAAUUUCAGUUAUGUGGCAUUAGAAGAAACCAACUAAGUAAUCUUUUCUUUUCUCAAUCCUCUAGCUUUGAAAAUUAGGGUUCCAGGUGAAGUACUGCUCAACAACAACAAAAAAAUCCUGAAUCAUUAAAACAACCGUUUAACACAGAACCUCACCUAAAGGGGCAAAGUUUUCUAGCAUCCAUUUGACUAAAUCGAUUUUCACUUUCCUAUGAAUUUUUGCUGUGCUUGUGUCUUGCUAAAAAUCCCUGUACAUUAGACUGUGAAGUACUAGACUGAUACUUGUUAAAUGCUCUUGCAGUUUUAGCUCUUGAUCUAUGAUCUUAGUUUUUCAUGUUUGAAAGAUUUUUCUUUCAUGUUUAUUUGUAAAGUGUUUAUUUGUAAAGCAAAAGGCUAAAGUGGUGCUUAAGUUUGAUUACUCCACAUAGGAUUGUUAUUGGAAGUUUUUUUUCGAAGUAUAUACCAAGCAAUUACCAUUUAUCAUUUCUAAUUGAAGGUUAUUACUCAAAGUGGACAGAUUCUAAGGCAACUAGGAGGUCCUUUACUUUGAGAGCAAUUUAUGAGUGAAAAUACUUUCUUUUUGUAAACAGCUUCUGAUGUACGAUGUCGUCUGGGGUGCCAGUUCUGGUAUUUAUGUUUUAAUUAAAGAGCACCCUGCCUCUCUAUUUUAAAAAGUGGGUGUCUUGGUGAGAAGUUCGGGGGGUUGGUAGUUGGAGCUGAGUUUGGGAUUGACUCAGCUCUGGGCAGCAGUGGUGUAUGAAUGCCAAGUGCUAAGCAUGUUUGGAAUGUAGACUUGCCAGCACUGAUAGCGUUUGCUUUGUUCCCCUGUGUGACUUGACCCAUUGAGAAAUUGUGGUUCCCUAGGAAGUUUUAAUAGUUCAAAGUGUUUAGUUAAUAAAGAAAAUGGCCACAACAUAAUUCAGCUUGUUUUCACCUGCUGCCUCAAAGAUUAACUUUCUUAACCAUAAUGGGAUAGAACUACUUCUUGCUUUGAAAAAGAAAUUUAUGGAGCUCAUCACAUUUGUUAGUUUGCACAAACAUGAAGCUCUCUGUGGGGAUUUUUUAUCAUAAAGUCCUAAGGCAUUGGCAACUUAACCUUGUGGUAACUUCAUCUAAAGCCAAAUCUCAGGGAAAGGCACACCCACUUUUCUGUAUCAGCUUAAUCUUUCACCAGACUCAGAGGGUUUUGAAUUACUUCAGGAAAAGUAGUGACUGAUAGAGCUUAACCUUCCGUUUUCCUCAUUUAUUUUCAUUAGAGAAUGGGAGUGGAAUUCAGAACAUUCAGAUGUGGAGUUAAUGUGCGUCACUGCUGCCAGCCCCUGCUGCCAGCGAUAGGUUCUGUGUUUUUCCAGUGGGAAACUCUGAUCCACAGACGAUGCAUACAGACCUGCACCUCCUUGCUCCUUCUGCUUUUCUCCUGAUUGUUACUUACCCUUUGAAACCUCAGCUGACUGUACAAGGCCUCUGUGGAAGCAGAUUUCAGAACAAAGGUGAUCUGUAAAAGUACCACGUAAGUCUUGUUUCUGUUUCCUGUUCUUAUUGAUAGUUUUAAGUCUCCCUACUUCUGUGUUUAAUGUUGAAUGUUGAAUGUUCUGUACAUAAUUAAAGCAUUUUCCUAGUUACAUUUGCUCAAAGAAGGAUUUUGAUGAACUUACACAUGUUGUAGUCCUAGUAAGUCACCUCACCACUUGCAUGAUUGUUUCUUGUGGCCAACAACAGUAAGCCAUUUACAUGUGUUGUUUUCAUAAUAUGUUUGAGAUAGAUAAAUAAUAAUAAAUGUUCCUGAAACAUAUAAACUAUGUCUUAUAUAAGCUCUAGUUAUAUUCUACUAGGGCAUAUCUGAACGAGGCUUUACAGUUUACAGAAUGUUGCCAUUACAUUUUAGAAACACCUACAGGGGACUUCUCAGGUCAGUAAGACAGAAUGCUGAAGAAGACAUAUCAAUGUUGACAGUGAGCAACUGUAAACAUCCUCGACUGGAAGCUGUGAAGCCACAAAUGGGCUUUCAGUCGGAUGUUUGCAGCUGCCUACUGUCUCCAACUUCAAGGAGCAAUUAUCUUGUUGGCUGAAACCAAUACCUUGCUUUCUCUUUGAUUUAUUUUUACAAAGCAUGGAUGGAAAGAAUAAACAACUUCAAAACCACAGAAAUGUUCCUCCUGUGCACAGAAUAUGCAAUAUAUGUACCUUAAAAAUAUAACAGUAUUCUUAAGAUAAGCAAAGAAAUGUGUUAUAGCAUUGUUAGUUUUUUAAAAAAAUAGGACAGUGCUUCAAAAAGCUAUUUUAAAAAGUAGGCUCUUUAAUCCACUAUUUUUAAAUCGAAAAUAGAUUUUUUUAGGACAAUUGACAAAAAAAUUCUGUUAAUGCAACUAAAUUAUUUGAAAAGAGAAAAAGUAAAAUCCAAUGUAGAGAAUUAAUUCAUGUUUCAUAGUGCUUGACUUAAAAACUACCUACCCCUUCUUGGUUUAGUCUUUAAUGAAGUAACGAUUUUCACCUCACUAAAGUAUCUAAAACACUAACAUUGCCUUAAGUAACUCUGAAAAGUAUAUUUGCUUUGUUUUGCUUGAUCAAAAGUACUAUAAAGUCUUGGUUGAGAUUUUUCUUUUAAUCGAACUGAUAAAGUAAUUCAUCUCUUAAAAUAGUACAUCAAAUUCCAUUCUUUAUGAAGACAAUUUCAGAAUGUAAAGCCCAGCCCAGAUCCCUGAAGGACAAAGUUUCUAAUAUGCCUUUUUUGUUAAUCUGUAUUUUUCUUAGGGCUUACAGUGAAUAUUCAUUUAGUUAAAUUAUGGGAAUGAGACACCUUAAAAAGAGAAGUAGACAGCAUCUUUAUCUUGUAAAACAGAUUUUUUGAAGCAAUAGUUUCAUUACUGUAGAAACUACAGCUUCUAUUCUCCUAAUUAAUAUUAUUAAUCUUACUAAUAGGAGUUCAGACUAAAAGGGUAUUCUUUUCCAUAAGUGCUGGCAAUGCUGAUGGCUGGAGAGAUAGGGGGAUAGAGUGAGUUUUUCUUAUGCAUAAGAUAUCAAGAGAGAAAACUCAAUUAGUCUUGUCAGGCAUGAGGAGUUAGUUGACUUAAGCUGGAACACGGAGGGCUGGAUAGAGAAGCCCCAGGGUCUGGAACUGAGCAACAUUGCUUUAAUAGUUAAACUGAAAACAUUUAGUGUAAGUAACCCAGUUGUGUCCCAGGGAAACUAACAGUAUUUCCCAGGGGACUGGCUAUAGGUUUGGCCAAAUUAUUCCACCUUUACUUUAUGUUUGACCCUGUGUUGUCUCACACUUCUUUCCUUGCUUCAUUGACUUCUAAAUUUUCCACUGUCCACUACUGUUUGGUUAUUACCUUCUCAUACUUACUAGAAUUUUUUUAACUUGUAAAAUUUCUUCAUUCUUAGAUAUUUCUUAAGCCAGCAGAUGUAAACCUCCGUUAGCUAUUUUGGUUUGUUUUGAAAUUAAUACCUGUAAUGUUUUGUGUUCCUCAUUUCCACAGUAAUAAUCUAAAAUACUGUUUUAGGAUAUCAACAGUGUACUAUUUAUAGUUGAAAUAAGAUCUGGAUUUUUUACCUCCAUUUUAUAAAAACAAACUUCAAUCUAAAACAGCAGUAUUACAUUAUAAUUAUAUUGUAAAAGCAUUGUAUACUUAAGAUUAAGUAUCAUUUUAUAUAAACCAACUAUUGCUCAUUAUUUUUACAUUAUUUUCUUUAAUAAUAACUUAAAAAUUACAUCUGUAUCUCCAUAAUAAAGCAUCUUACAUGAACCACAACAGAAAACAAUGUUCCUUUUUCUCCUUCCCCUUUUCUUUUCGUGUUGGGCCUUGUGCUUGCUGGGCAAGGGUUCUUAAACUAAGUACAUGCCCAGAGUCUUCAAGUGGCCUACAGCAGGUCAGUUACUGAGAUUAAAACAGUCAUCCUUGGUGCUGGAGAAAUGAACUCAAGUGUUGCUUCAAAGCCAGUAAUGUUUUAGAAGCGAACAACGUACCUAACUAACCUUAAGUAGUGUAAAUAUAGUUUUUUAAUUGUAAUUGUCCAAAAUAGAAAUUGUGACAUCCUUUGAAGGGAGAUUUCUAAAGUAGGAAUAUAAGAUCUGAAAGUGACAUUGGUGAUUGAUUUAAAUGAUACUUAAUAUUUUUUCCUUACCCUAGAACUCUAGCUUGGAACCGCACUUAAGUUUAUAGGGAUGUCUCCAUAAAUAGCAUACAUGUGCAGUCCUUUGCUCCCUGAGAAGACAGCUGCAAGCUGUGAGGGUUGUGAUGACUAGUGAAUUGAUUUGUUAUCUAGGCUUGUGAAUGCCGCCAUUUCUGCCCGCAUUGGUAUUAGAUUGUGUUGUUUUCUUUUGCUAAAGUAUUACCUAAAUGUUACCAUCAAGAAAUAAGUCUUUUCUAAGUAUCACCAGGUUCUGAUGGUUUAUUAACACUAAUUUGAAAUUGCCAGUUGUUUUUGUCUAUUGGGAGAGUUAAUAGGACAUUAAUUAUUUCUUUUAACUUUUGCAGUGAUUUAACAAAAUCUUAAAGAUAAUUGAUAGUGAACUAUCUUAAGAGACUUGCUAAAGGAACUGAAAUUUUUCUUUAGGUGGCCCUUGAAAAAGUACAGAGUAAGUACUGGAUAUUCUAAAUAGUUGGGAAGCUAGGCUUGUUAGUUUGUAUCAUAGUUGUUUAUUCCUGACUAAGCAAAUAUGGGACUGAGCCAUUUGAAUUGAGGCUUUUAUGAUUAUUAGUUUUCUUAGUUUUUAUUCUUCUUAAUGCAAGAAAUUCAGUGAAUAAGAGUUUUUUGUUGGUGGUGCUUUAUUGUUUGUUGUUUUAAGUCCAGCUAGCCAAAUGGCUCAUCGGGGAAGGUGAUUGAUUGCCUUCAAGACUGAUGACUUGGAAUGCACUGACUGUGCUAGUCUUGCAGAUGGGAGUUGAUCAAUUUAUUAUUCUUUAAUAGACUUCCUUGGUGGUUAUUUAUGACAGGUAAUCUUUCACUAAUAUAUACUUAAAAUCAGGCAGUAUGACUGACCAUGGUGAGGAAGUUAGUGUUGCAAAGUGAUACUUAAUCUGCCUUUCUAAUGUGUAGAUUUAAUUGUUAUAUCAGCUUAAUGACUUGGUAUUUGUUAGAGUGAAAGAUUUUUGAUGGGAAAUGAAAAUUAUAUAAAAUAGAGUAGACUAGGGAUUCAUUCAGCACAAAUACUAAAUGUGAACGUAUUAUAUAUUUAAUAGUCAUGAUUAGAGAGGUUAAUGAAGAUUGUCGAGUUCCCUUUCAUUCAUGUAUUCGGGUAAUACCCAAAUCUUUCUUGCUAGAGAACAUAAACUAGUGCGAUACUGUAUCAUGAAGGCUGAUCACAAUAUCUAAAUUUUAGAUUUGGUGGGUUUUUUUUUUUUUUGUUUUGUUUUGUUUUGUUUUUGCCAAGGAAUGAAACUCUUGAAAAUACAAAUGCUUAUUAGAGAAGUCUGUAAGUAAAGCAAACUUUACAUAAACAAGUUAAAUGCCACAAUUGAAUAUAUAAAUAAAUAUCCAAUGUCAUAAAAUAGUAUCACUUGUAAUCAUAAUUCCUACAGUUACUAGGUCUAUAUUUACUGGCUUUUAAUGUAAGAAUGAUUGUAUGUUAGCUGUAGAUGUCAGUUUGGUGUUUUGAGAGCCCCUUCUGAAGAUGUCUUCCUGAUCUGCCCUGUGCCAUCCGUCCUCUGCUGUCAUCAGCUUCUUAAGCCCCAGCUCCAUUGUUCUAGUCCAUUAUGUUCUUCCUCUUGCCUCAGUUCCUUCCUCUGCACGGAUGAAUGGUCUUUCCCCACCCAUGUCUACGUGGAAACACAUGUCUCUGCAUACUUACAUACAUACACAUGCAUGCAUUCUCAUACUUUGCUUUUUCAUUUUAAAUGGCAUUUCCAGAGGGAAGAAUUCCAUUAUUCCCUUUAGUUCAUGCUGUAGACUCAUUAGUCCUGUCUCAGGAAUCACAAGUUUGCCAUGUAAAAUGCACAGAGGACAGCAAGUAAGUGAUCAGAAGUUGUAUUAAUAAAAAACUAGGAAGUAUUCCAGGAUACAGUGAGCUAGACAGUCCUGCAGAGGUUAAGCAGCAACCAGGUAAUCCUUGUAGAAAAUAGUGGCCGCUUUAAAGAAUACUAAUCAACAUUAGAUUAGUAUUUAUCUCUAUGAAACAUACUUUGGAUUUUGAAUUUAGUUUAAUAAGAUCUCAUACAUAGAAUUCCAUUCUUCCAGAAUAUGAUUUUUAAAAAAAGAUUAAUGAUUAUCAGCUUGCUUUAGUAAAUGCCUCACUCAUAGGAAGGCUAGUGAGGAUAUACAUUAAAAAAAAAAAAUCUUUGCUCCAUGUGGUAAUACUAGGUGGAGAGAUACACUGUUAGGUGGACCAGUGACCGGCAUUGCCUGAAUCUGACCUGACACCAAUCUUCCCAGGAAAGGUCCCAAAAGAAUCUAUGACAAGAAGAAGAGAAACAAAAUAAAAUGUCACCACUAAGCAGGACAUUUUCCCAACCCCUAUAUAAUAAGCAAAUAAGCCAGGCUGGAAUAAUUUGUUUCACAUUCCUUUACUCUGAUUGGGCUAUUAAAGAACAAAGGAGAGUUUUAGAUAAUGAAGAGGAAAUAAAAACCAAGAAUUGGUCACACCAUAUGAUUUAAACAUAGGAGAGCAUCCUUGAGGAAGUCUGUUCAGAAGGGAUAAGGACCGUGUUCAUGAGCCUUCAAUGAUCAUUUACUGGACACAUUCUUCUGAUUGUUCGGGCAGGAGAGUGGACAGGAAAGAAAGGAGAGAAAGAAAGGAAGGAAUGGUGUUUAUGUACACCUUUCCUUCCCCUGGGUGCCACUGCUUGCCUUUCAGCAAUUUUCCCUGUGGUAGCAUUUAAAUGAUUAUGAGAAAAAUAUGUCAUUGCUUAGUGCUUUAAGUAUUGGUACCAUUGCUAAAAUUGUAGAUGCCAUGUGCCAAGCACUUUUCAGGGUGUAUCUGCCACAGCUGAACUGUCACAAUGGCACUGUGAAAAAUAAGGAAACUAAGGCAGGUUGGGUUGCAUAGAGCGUCUAAGUGGGAGGGAAUCUAAGAAUAUAAAUUACGUAGGCUCACAUGAUAAAGACCAGCCAGUUUGAGUUGAAAGGGCUGUAGAAGGCAUAUGAAGUAUACUUUCCAUAGGUAGAGAAAAUGAAAAACAAGGAAGAUAUGGAGAGAAAUGGUGGGUGCAAGCCCUCAGAGAUCAACUGGGUUGGCUGGUCUGCUACAGGUAAGAGGGUGUCUGGAAGUAGUAUGGUGGGAACAUAAAUAGAAUAUUUGGAGUUUGGAAGUGCAAAAAAAGUCCAAACUUAAUGACAAGCUACACUUUGAAAGAGAGUUGAAUUAUAGGUUAAACUUAUUAUGCAGGCUUGUUUUGUGUCCCUUCAAAGCUUCAAAUAGGGACAGCAACUGGACUCUUGCUGCAUCUGUAAAUAGGCUGCUAUCUGUUUUCCUUUCUUUUUGUAGUUGUAAAGAAUCAUUCAUGCCAGCACAGUUAAUGAGCUUUAGCUGUUGAAUGGAAUUAUAUAUUCUGUUCAGUAAGGCCCUUCUCAUGCUUCUGUUGUCUCCUACUUGCCGUGGUGUCUGUAGCACCAGGCUACUUCUAAGUCAUAAUGAUCAAGCUCUCCAGAGAGUCUAGCUCUGGAGAGUAUGUCCAGUCUGGAUCAUAUUGGACCUGUAACGACAGAAGUCCUUUGGGCAAAUGUAACCAUAUUGUGAUGUCAUUUUUCUGUACCAUGACUUCCCUUCACCAAGGCUUCUGAAAAAUUUCUAGGGGGAAGCCAUUCAGUUUUCUAAAGUUUUUUUGAAACAGAAUUUUGAUCUACCAAAUUAUAUAGGGACUUUGAGUUUCCUAGUACAGAACUGCACCUUCAUAUAUUGUUGAGUGAAUGAGAUAUUGUUUUCUCUUCUAAGAUGUUUCUCUGUUGUACCCCUGUCUUGGAGUUUCUUGUGUAGGCUUGUACCAUUUCCAUCUAUUAUUUAUUGCAUGGGAUUUAAACUUCUCUCUUUAGUACUUCAAUUCUCUGCAAAUUGAAACUGGGACCUUGGGCAUGGUAGACAAGUGUUUAUCACAAUUUUAUAUAACCCCAGCCCUAAAUCUAAACUUUAACAUUUAGUCUUCUUUAAAUAUUUCUCCGAGAUGACCACUUUUCUGUACUUCUUAGAAAGGUAAACCAAUUUCCUGGGUGUUACUUUGAGGUGACUUCUCAUUUUGCCUACCCUUCCUGGGGGCUGAGCUCUGUAGGAUUUGCCUCCUUGAUUGAUAUACUUGGUGGCUGUAGCCAGUGCUUUGUUUGUACUAGAAACAGAAGAAUUCCAUGUUGGUAUAACCAGUACAAGUUCUUUCCAUGCCCAGCAGUCAGCCAGGGUAGAGAUCCUUUAUGUGCUGAAUCCCCCUCUGCAAUGAAAACAUCUACUCUUCGACUGAAAAAACUAACAAACAUUUCUCCAUACAUUUAACAUAAAGUAUUUGAUUAACAUAUUUAAGUGUAUGAAAACAGAUCUAUUGUCCUAAACCCUGGUGAAGUGUUAAUUUAUUUAACCAAUCAAGUUAUAUGUCAGAGUUAAAUGUAACAAAAUCAGAAGAGAAGCAUGUGAAGCAAACACAUUUUAUGAACAGACACACACACACACACACCUACAAAUUUUUUAGUCUGAUUUUUUAAAUUUUUGCAUCCCUGAUUCUAUAUGGGUGUUCUAUAAAUGGCCAGUUGUUUAUAACGUAAACAUUUUAGCUGUUGACAAGAUUAAGUUUGAGCAAUCUAUGAGUGCUUUUCUGAUUACUCAGUCACCGUAUUAGUUAUUUUCUUCUUUGCUGUGAUUAAAUUCCAGGCAAGGCCCAAAUUGAAGGCCUUAGUUUGGGUCACAGUUUGAGGACAUGUUUCAUCAUUAUGGUGGCAGGAACAUGAGCACCUGGUUACAUUAUGCUUACUGUCAGAUGACUCCUAGACCUUACCUUAGCUCACUUUUUUCUUUUGCUCAGUUCAGGACUCGGGCCCAUGGUACACUGCCACAUACAUUCAGAGUGAGGUCUUCCCGUCUUCUUUAACCUAAUAUACAGAAUUAGGUAAAGAAUUAGCCAAAGGGGGAGGGGGAAACCUUAUAGAAAUGCAUACAGGUUUGUUUCCAUGGUCAUUUUAAAAUUCCAUCAAGUUGAUAGUGAAGAUUAACCAUCACAGCUCAUAAAUCUGCUUUCAAAACUAUGGCAGUAUGUGAAUACCUUCACAAUCCUUUCACUGACAUUUGUUUUGAUGGGGAACUAAUCUCAAUGAGUGACAAGAAAAGUAUUUAUAAUGAGUGAAACAGCUAGUCAAAGGGACACCAUGCAUCCGUAGCUUUUCUCUGUUACAGUAUUUUUAAGGUUAUGUUAAAAUUAAAGUCUGGAGGCUCUCCUGUGCUCUAUAGUGAGAAUGUCUGCUAGCACGUGGGCCACUUGGAAUUAUUGCUUAACAUGUACUCUCUUGCUAUCUCAGCCAUUUCUGCAUUAGUAAGACUCUUCUGUACUUCACAGAUCUUAGAUAUGUAAUACUAUAUAUUCAAGGACUGCUUCAGAUGUAGUGUUUAUGUAGACAUUUAAGACUAUCACUGGCACUGUAUAUCACAGUGAGAAUACUAGCUUUCUAACUGAAACAAAUGGCUGCUACAGUGUAUUAUUAAAUUCUGUCUUACUUAUUAGAAAAUUAUGCUCUUUUUUUUGUACACGACUUUGUGCCUUUUUAUUAAAUGAACAUUUUCAACUCUAGCAAAUAGCUCUAUUUUUAUUUUCAUUAUUAUGUUUCUAGCCAUUUAUAUAUUUUUAAACUAAUACUUGGUAAAGUCCUUCCAUGUGCACCUAUGCAGAACUUCAUCUAAAAUUACAUCAGUUAGACUUUCAGUGUCUAGAAUGUACAAGGCCCUAGAUUUCAUUCCUGGGUAUUGCAGUAAGUAUCAGAGACUCUACUUCUAGCUCUGACUGCUGCACUCGAGUCACCACUGUGAGACAGUCACAUCAUCAAGCCACUCGCACAUUAUUAAACAGCGGUGACUUCAUUUCAGUGUUUCCUUUGGUUACUAUUUGGGAGACUCCCUUCCAAUAGAGGAAGUGGGCUGAUGGAGGCCAGUGUUUUCAUUUUAGACCUUCACGUCUCUGGAAAUCUGCAUCCUCGGUAGAAAAUAGAGCUGUGUGAAUGCCAGAGUGUAACCUGACAUCCAUCAGGGAGAGGGAGGAGGUCCCAUAAAGCCUUGUGUCUUUCACAGUAAUCCUCCCAUUUGGCGAGAGUUAGACAGGAAGUGUUUAACAAUGGGAUUUUAUAAAUUUCAAUGUAGUAAUGAGUUUUUAUAUUUGAAUGGAUCUAGGGAAGUCUUUUUUUUUUUUCUCCCCCCUAACAGGAUGGGCACUUAGAGUGAAGGUGUCUAUGGACUUGGGAGCAUUUGCUUGCUUUAUUGGACUUUGUGUAAUAUUUUCCCAUUUUAUCAUGUUAAUCAAGGGAGAAAGGAAGAAAGAGCUGGAGUGUCUAUUGAUUUCAAAUAGUUUGCCAAAGGGGAGUUAGUGAGAAAGUAGCUGUCUUUUAUUUAGGAAGAUGAUUUUAUCAACAACAGAGACCUUAGACUGUGUUCAACUAGGCCAGAACAAUGGAGUUAUUUUCUUUCACAUUUGCACCAUAAGACCUGAUAGUUUUAAAAGCUUUAUACACAAGUAGCUUUAUAUCAAGAACUAAAUUUACAGGGACUUGAGGAAAAGAUAUUCCUGCUUGACCCCAGUCACACAAGUUCUCCAAGGCAGCUAUAAAUACAAGUGAAUCCUCUUCCUCUAAGACCAAUGAAGCCUUACAGAUUUUAGAGACUUAUAGAUUGUGCACAAGAACAAUGUAGCUCUUCACUACUUAGUAACCCUUGUCAGUAACAUAGGAGUUAGGCAGGUUACAGCUAAAGGGGAUAAAGAGAAGGAAGAGUCAGAGGUUCGGAAAGGCAUGUAAACCAGAAACCUGGUUCUGAAAGGACCAGCUAAAAGGUCACAAAAUUUGGGGUAGCAUAUAUUCAUUCUGUGGCAUGUUUCCUUAGUAUUUGGAUAAAGCCUUAAUAAAGGCAUCAAAAAAGAAUAUUAUAAGCUGGAAACACCAAUGAAGAAGAGAACUCACUGUAGGAUUCCACAGCUACUAAGUAAUAGGAUGUUGUCUUUUGAUGACAGAUACUCUGUUUUAUCUGUGAUCCUGUCUUACCUCUCCAGAGUCAUUGGUUAUACUGUGAACUUCAAGUACUCAGCCCAUAGAGAUCUAGAAUACCUUUUAUCUCUGACCUACUAUUCAUAUUACUCUCUUUUCUCAAGACUUAUAGAUUGUGCACUUCAGCUUAUAGGUGACAGUGCUUUUAUGAAGGAAUUAAUCCUCACAAUUUAACAUUCCAGAUAAGUGAAUUAUAUACCAUUUAAAACUAAAAGAACUAAAUAAAAAAGUAAUUUCUGAAGUGUGUAUUUUUUAGUUUCUUUAAAGAAAGAGACAGAUCCCCUUUGCAGCAGUGUUUUGGUGCAUAGAGGCUGUGGCUGCAGACAGCACUUGUGCUGUGCCUGUUGAAUGUAUUGAAGCCUCUGAUUUUUGGGCAUGGGACUAUAAUUGCUAGUCUCUCUCUGACUGACUUGUGCCUUUAAAACAUUGGGACUUUGCCUACUAUUCUCCACAGCACUAGAACAGUGCCAAUGAAGGUUCCAUAAAUGCUUGGUUGAUUUUUAAUGAUCAUAUCAUUCUUCCUUAAUGUUGCCUUUUCAGUCAGUAUUACUCAACUUGGGCUUAAUGGCAAUGAAAACACCUUUUCUCACUUGUUCUAUUGCCCCAGUUCGUCCUUUCCUGUCCUUUCAUUACCUAAAUUUGAAUAGAUACUUAGAAUUAUCCUUAAGCUUCACAAGAGCUAUACCACCUAUACUACAUGUGGAAUUUCUUAGACACACUGCCUAAUAGUGACAUUAAUUUGGUUCAUUGUGCUAAUCUGUCCAUGUCCUGUGGACCUCCAAGUCAUAGUCCAACAUAAUUUUGCUUUUUAAGGUAUAUGUCCAGUUGAGGAAAUCUUUAUUCUUUAGUUUGACCGGCCACCUUAAUAAAGGUUGUCAUGUUACACAGGAAAUGCCCAGGCAAAGUGUAGUUAGUGAGGGCUGAAGUUUAACUCUCUUGAGUUUCUGUUAGUAUCAGUCCCUCUAGGGCACGUGUGUGCAGCACUUAGGACUCUACUGCGUUAGGGCUCUAAUCAAACUUCUCCACCAGGAUAUCUAGAGAAACUGAUGCAUUGUAUAACACAUUUCCUCUGUCUAUACAUCCACUAAUCAUAUUCAGAAGGAGGAAAUAAAAACACCGAAAUUAAAUAACGUCCUCCUACGUUCUCUUAUACCUUAAAAAAGAAAUUAAAAACACGAUUGCUGUCCAAGGCAAAGGAUUUCAGAUAUGUGUUCACUCAUUUUAUAAAUAUUUGUCCCUCAGUUACUCUAAGUAGCGUUCUGAUAAGGGUUGGUGGUACAGCUCUGAGCAAGGCCAGUGCAGUCCCUGCCAUUCCUUAUCCGUCACUGACAGGCACUAUCAGGUUGGCAGGAGGAGUGAAAAGCAGUUGCUGAAUAGGUGCUGCUGCAUAGACCAGAGCUGAGAAAUGGUGUGUGCUGAGUGGAAGCUGUUCACAUCGGCUGAGAGGCCGAUGUGUCAAAGUCUAGACAGAUUGGGAAACAAACCCCAAGAAACUGGAAUUUGGAGCAGCUUGCUUUUUAAAGCAUUGAAUACUAAUAUUAAUAGACUUCUUAUGCCAGUAGUUCAGGUGAAAACUAGUGAUAGCUCUCACGGUCUGGUCUAUGUGUUCUAAAAGUAGCAGUGUCGUGUGAAGUAAAUGUCCUUGUACUUAACUGCCAUAUAAGAAUUUUAAUCCUUUUACUAAGGGGCAAAUCCUAACAGAACACUAAGUCAAUCUUUGUGCCCAAGUCUGAUGCUCUUUAGAGAGUUUUCAGAGAAUUGCUUGUGCAAUACCCAUUUUGUCCACUGGUGCCCUAGAGGGUUCAUAUUAAUCAGCUUUUGAAAGUUCUUUAUUUUGGUGUACACUAUACUGGAGCUGACUUCUGACUCUUCUGACUUAAGCAGUCCUGUUCACAGGUCUCAAAGGGCCUAUUGGUGAAAAGCCACAAGGUAAUUGGCCCGGGACUCCUAUUUAACCUCAGUCCAUUCUCCCUUCUCCAGUGCAGCUUAUUCCUUAGUCUAAGAUUUUGUAACCCUUUUAAAAAAAGUGGAGAAGAGGAAUAGUCUUUGGUCCCUUGGAGAUGACUGCCUGCAGGAACCUGGUUCUAGGUGCCCACCUCUCCUGUCACCUUCUAGGGAUGUUAGGCUAGAAUAUUUUUGCUGGAUUUAGAAGGUCUGUGUAUGACCCAGUUGCCCAAAGGAAAAAUAAAUGUUUCCUUUUCCCAACAUUACUAUCUGCCCUUCUUUCUUAGUUUCUUGAUGGUUUAUUUGCUUCUGGGCGCCUUUCAAUUUCUUAUUAAUAUUUACAUGACAUAUGUAUUCAUGUCACACAGAUGUGGAAAUGUUUAGAUGCAAUUAGACAGAUAAGUAAAAAUGCCAGAUAAAUAUUUGCUUCAUUAAUUUUCCUGGUCAAUUAUCACUUUAGUAAGAAUGGUCUUACAUGACCUCACACAUCUAAAAUAGGUUUUCCCAACUGAUACCUUGAUAUAUAGUGCAUUUCUCAUCACUGUAAUAUUAUAUAUUUAAUAAUUAUAUUUGUUUCUAUAUAUAUUAUAAUGCUAGGAACUCAGAUCUCUAGUACAUAGAACAAUGCCAUAUCUAUUGGCACCUUUUAUAUUUUGAAACGAGAAUAUCUUAAUGAAAGUGAUCAUAAUUGUCUUUUUUUAAAGUUGAGUAUGUGUUAAGUUUAUUGUUUCCCAAUGUGACACAAAUAGUAAAUGAAACCAAAUCCAAACUCAGGCUCUGUACUGUUCAUAUUAUGUCUCAGGAAGAUAAUAUCUGUACUUACUAGUUAAUAUGUCUUUACAGAAGAAAUCAAAUGAUCAUAAAGGACAGUGGACUAAAGUUUUUCACAAGCAACUGUUUCUAAAGUGUGUCAGCAUUGUAUCACAGUAAAGAAAGCUAGGGUAGCAAACUGAGUGUGGUGAACCCUAGAGAAAUCUGAAGUCUCUUGUCAGUCUGGCAGUCUCCUUUCUCCCCGUAUGUCUCAUAUCAGCCAGUUAAAGAAUUGACCAACUUGGUUUUAAUUUUCCUGUCUUUGGCCCACUUUUUUAAGGUAACUGCUAAUUCGUGAAGAUAUAGUUACUGUUGCUUUCUUUUUCUUUCCCUGUGGGAGAAGAGGUAGGGACACAUAGCCUGCAUGUUUGUAAGUUCAUUCUUUCAGACUCUCAGUUGUCUCUAGUUGUCUCCAUGACAGGACUACAGCUUCACCAAAGGGGUGUGUGUGUGUGUGUGUGUGUGUGUGUGUGUGUGUGUGUGUGUGUGAUGGAGAGAAAAAAGUGAACUGAGUUAGAAGUUUUGACGUCUAGAUAAAAACAUGUUCCUUUGCCACCACGCCUUUCCUCAUAUAAGUUAAUUUUUCUAGUGGAAAUAAGUUUCUCCCUUUAAUGUAAUGAAAAAGGUAAACUGGUAGAUCUGCUGUGUCUGUAUGAUGAGAAAACCAUUCCUUACUUAGUGCCCUAAGCAUUCCAGUGCUGGGCUGUUGUAUAAGCUUAGCACAUUUCUCUUCCCUUAGUUCCCCCAGGUUCUGUUUUUCGUCAGAAGAAAACACUGUCAUAUUGAUAUACAAUAGUCACAAAAUCCUGCCCUAGUCUACUGCCCUCUGUGCUGUGACAAGAGACCGCUGUUAGAUUUCCUAAAAUGCAAGGUGCUCUCUUCUGCUCUGUUUUCAUCAAAUACAGUAGGUUACCUGAGAAAUAUUUGCCUUUCUGCUGCUGUUCUAAAAUGACUACUUACUGAGUAGCAGCAAACAACUCGUGCUUACCUCUUCAUAGAACUCAGCAUCAUGAACUGUGACUCGCAGUUUUCCUUGUCAUAAAAAGUUACUGAAACGUUGAGACAGUAGUAAGAGAAAGUCCACAAAGGAGUCAUGCUUUACCACACGACUGUUGAAAAAUACAUGUUCUAGAUUUUUACAUAUGUCCCUUCAGUACUGGUCCAUUUUUGUAGCCCUGCAGUUGUAUUAUAUUGAAAAUAACAGUAUGCUUAAACAGUGUCAUAAAUAAAUAUAUGAACAACUUAUAUUGACAUAAUACAUUAUGCCAAAUUACUCUUGAAAUUGCUUUUCUUUUGACUAAUAUUAUUAUGUAAAUUUUUAUCACUUUGCUAUCCUGAUAAAUUAUCUUAAAAAUAUUAAUGCAUCAAAAGUAGAGGGUUUUUGUUAUUGUUGGUUGCUCAAGCAUAACAGAUUUGUGAGCCAUGCCAGGAUGUAUGUGUGUGUGUGUGUGUGUGUGUGUGUGUGUGUGUGUGUGUGUGUGUGUGUGUAAAUAAUAGCUACAAAAUGCUAACUCAAAAUGUUUAUUGACCUCAGUUUUGGUCACUACAAAAAUCUAAUGAUCUUUGAAUUUUGUUAUUUGACUUCAUAUAGUAGGCAUUCUUGACUUGACAAUUAUUACUGUUUUAAUAGUGAUUGACAGAAGUUUAUAAGGACAUUGCAGGAUCUCCUGAGAAGUACACACAAUGCCUACACACGUAGAAUAUUGGACAAUCUAAUGCAGUAAAUAUGGUUUGAUUGUUGCUCAUUAUCACCUUAAAAUUUAAAGGCCAAUACGAUAUGAUAGUUGUUUUGUUAUUCACAAGUUGAUAAGAACCACAUUGCUAUAAUAGGAAAAGAAGCUGAGUGGAUUAAAGCAUAAACAGAAGGAGAUGUACCAGCCAUGAAUCCAAGCAAGCAAAUAUGUGAGUCUAGCUGUAUACAGUCACAUCCAUACUUUUGGGGUAGACUUGCUCUAAGUAGGGGUGUUGUUGAGUUUAGGUCUGUGACUUUGGUAUUUGUUUCCAUUUCUUUAGCCUUUCUUUUCCUGCCCUUUAUAUAGCUAUUAUUACUUUUGCUGGGGGUGGGCAUGCCUGUUACACCAUCUGUGUGGCACUUUAUGGAGUGGGUUCUCUCCCCUUUCAACUGAGGUCAUUAGGAUUGCAAAAGAAAUCCUUUCCUGAGCCCUCUCACUAGCUCUCUACCCCCUUUAAAAUCUAAGAUAACUUUUAGUACAGCAUUUUAAUUCUGUUGCCCUUUUUAAUGCUAUAUUUUCUGACAUUUUUAUAAUCACUAAAGUGAUAAUAUGUCUUUGAUUUGUUAUAAUCAAUUUAAGAUUGUUAUUAAUUUAACACUAAUUAAAUUAGUGCUGAGUGAUCACUUGGGCUCUGUCACUUUGAAUCUGUCUGCAUCAAGAAUCGCCAUAGAGUGACCACUCAGGUUUGCCUACUAAAAAACAAAACUGAACAUACAAAGUUCUUGACCUCCAUAGAAGAUUUACUUACUGCAUUUGAAUUCACUGAUAGCAUCUAGACCCUGUUUAUUCUGCAGUAUUUUUAAACUGAGCUUUGCAUAUUCUUUCCUGCUUAGACUAGUCAGCCACUGUGUGGCAGUGUCAGCCACCAGCACUGGAAACUGCUUGAGCUUACUACGGCAAUGGGGAACUCCAAUUCCACCCUGUGGUGCAGAGAAGCAAUGGUGCUUUGGGUUCUAGUGACACCUGCUGGUACUUUUUUUUCCUCUAGAUCACUUUUUGAGAAAGAAUCAUUUAAUCAUUAAGAUGUCAUAAAAGGCCUCCAUUUUCUGUCACUAUAAGCUUUGCUAUGAUAGAAGCAGCAACCAACACUUGGAUUUUACAUUGGGCUUUUCCUACAGGAGGGAUUAGACCAAAAGACAUUGUCAUGUGGUAAAGUUAGAAUGUCUGUAUAAUAGUAUCACAGGAAGUGCUUCUAAGGAUUGAUACUCUGAGAGAACAUGCCUGACAUUAUAGGAGGUCACCAUGUUAUUUUAUCAUUUUAUAACAUCUGAGGGCACUCAAAGGCAAGCUUAGCAGUUUUAUUCCAUUUCUGGUGAAGUUAAAGUUUUGAGUAAAUGCUGAACAAUGAGAGAAUUUUGAUCACAGUGCACCUGUGUAAUUUUUACAUUUGUAUAAGUGUUGCAGGAAUAGAUUUUUUUAAAAAAAAUUAAUACUGACAAUAAGGUUAAAAAUCAUCUUUGAUACUCAGCUUCUCCUUUCUCCUUGCUCCAGUCAUAUUACAGCUUUCACUUUCCCGUGCUUUCCAGAUACAUUUUCCCAAAGCACAUGCACACACUCUGUUGUUUGUAGACUGGAAACAAAGUAGCUAGUAUUUGUCAAAGCUACUGUUAUACUAAAGCCUUCACUGAAGAGACGGAACAGACUCAGCCGCCUAAGUCAUGCCACUAACAACUCGAUAUUCUAUCACGGCAACAGUUUUUUCUAAAGUUGCUUAACUAAAACAUUGAUAGGACUACAGUUUUCCAAUUACAAUACAGAGCAGUGAUUUACCUUUACACCUUUACAGCUGUUUAAUACGUGCUCCCAUGGGCAGCGCUGGUAACAUUCCUCCGUCCACUUGAACACUCCCACACUCCCGUCACGGUGGUAGCCAGAGCUAGCUAACUUCUUAACAUAAGACCCACACUUUAUUUUGUCCAACAGUGUCAAAGUGAUCUGUGUUUACAGUUCAUGUGGACAGAGGAUUAAAGUUGGCUGAGGAAAUUUUAUUUGAACAUUUUCCAUUUUUACAUCAUUGAAGAAUAUAUAAUUCAUCAUUCAAACCUUUAGUAUUUCAUAAUGUUUGAUUACAUUUUGUAUGUUUGUUUUUAACUUGAAACUUCCCACACUUAAAACACCAGUAAGAAUUUUUUAAAUAUAAGAAUCAAUUAUAAAAAAUUCAUUUGUUAUUUUUUUUUCUGAGCACAAUAGCUUAAGUAAAACAGUUAAGAAUGGAAGAGAAGGGAUAGGAAUCAGGAAACCAAGUUUAAGAAAAAGUGAUCAGAUAUAUUACAUCAGGAUGGUGCUUUAAUCUGUUCACAGCAUUUCCCAGAAGAUUCUCUGUUCUGUACACUAUGUAGAAUUUGCUAAGUCUGGUUUCAACAGUAUUCUACCAAGAGUGUAGACAGGAAAUCCCAUCAAGCAGACAUUCAGAGUAAGGAGCAGUUCUGGCUGUAAGAACGGAACUUUUUC
ensembl:lncRNA